GGGCGCAUGGCUCAGUGGUAGAGCGCUAUCCUCACACGAUAGAGGUCUUUGGUUCAAAUCCAAAUGCGCCCA
rnacentral:tRNA from 1 species